AGAAUAUCAUGAACUUAAGAUACAUUUCAUUUUAAUAUUUGACUCUAGCAUCAUAUCGACUGCACAUCAAAUAAUGAAAAGGCAACCAGGAAACUGAAACUGUUGUCUUUUAUGAACCUACACACUAACCUUCAGAUUUGCUGGCAGUUUUAUUAAGAAGAAAGAAAGGAAGGAAGACAGAGAGAAUACCAGCAAAAAACAAUAAUAAAAAUGUUUUGGCAGGAGCACAGAAAACUAAAGGUGAAAUCUGUCUCAUUUUUCAAAACUGUGGUUCUUGAUGUCCCUUAUUGCCACACAACUUUUAUCAUUUAAUUUUGGUACACAACAAUAAAGUAUAGCCGACUAAUUUCUUGUAGCUACACUAAAUACCAAGUAGUGCUUAAAGCUAGAGUAGGUAAUGUAUUUCAGAAGCAUUUGUUGUUAUAUUUAUUGAAAUUCUAUUUACAUCGCAACAGCAAUUAAUAAAUCAAAUGCUCUGGGGAACCCGGUAUCUGUGGCUGUCGCAGGCCUGUAAUAUGCCAAGCGGCCUACCUGCCUGUCUACGCACACUCUGCCCGUGGGGAGUGGCUUUGCAGGAAGGAGGGCUGAGCACUGUGAUUUCACUGAAGAGACGUCUCAGCCACAACGGUGCAACAAUUUCCACAGCUUUUUCUAUCAGCCUUCUCUACAAACCAGUAGAGGGAGUCCAAGACUUGAAUCCUGGUCCUACCUUUUGGGCCUCAAAAACUGAAGCUUUCUACAAGCUCUCUGCCUGAGCUGCGAGUUGCAGAUUCUGCCAGAAGCUCAGCCUUUGAAUCAGAUGGUCAUCUUGCCUCCACUGCCACAGAAAAGGGCCCCUUUGGACUUGGCUGAGGUCAGCGGCGGAGGAGUACACCAUGCUGAGAGGUGUGAUGUGGCUCUGUUGGUUUGACCCACACCUGCUGCGUAUCCUUCACUCAAGCACUGGAGGGUUUCUGCAACUGAAUCAAGGAAACUUCACAACAGGCCACUAAACAAUAAAUAAAACAUAUCAAUGUCUCCUGUCACUGUAAGUGCAGGUACCGCUGCUGCUGACGCUUCAAAUCUGCUGCCUGCAGUGCACCACAGAUGUAUCA